rnacentral:rRNA from 1 species
ACCUCAGUUCAGGUGAG